AAGCUUCACUUCCUAAGUUUAGCUUCAACCUGUUCUUCCUUGUCAAAGCAACACAACAGGCAUUUAAAAACUCAGUGAUCGAGAAAAACUGAACAUCUGAAAACUUCUGGUCUAAGAUGACAGUCAAAGUGGAAAACCACGAUCUUCCUGCCGCUGCUGAGCUCUGCGCUCGCGAGCUGCGGCAAGUUGGAGAUAAAUUGUACUGGAGAUAUAAACUCCUGGAAAUGCUGCUCAAGAACUAUGAGACUCUCAACAAAAUAAAAUGAGAGGUCACACCGACACAGACGGAAUCAUGAAUUCGACAAAACCCAAACUAGCCUUGGAUGAGAAGGCCAUUACUGGUUAUGACAUGGUGAUCCUUGCGAGGGCUUUCCACUGCUGACACAUCUGGCGGGACUCGCCAGUGUGGACUUUGGAGUGAGAUUAAGAUGGAAAACAAAACAGGCGGGAGGAUGUUGAUCCCGCGGCUGACUGGACCAAAGGACAACGACUACAUGGCAGUUGUCUGCUGAAGAUACUGGAACUGAAAAACACAAACAUUCGUGCACCGAAUCAUGUUUACAGCAGGUUCAUUUAAGAGUUGUAGCAAUGGGAAAUGUUGGUGUUAUGGAUUUGUUAAAAAAGUUACAAAUGGAACAAUUUCUUUCUCAUAAUAGUUACUUGUACUGUCUUUGUUUAAUGGGAUACAACUGUUAUUUGACAAUGGUUGUAGUUCUAUUUAUUGUUUUAAGUAUUUGUGAACUUAUUUUAAUUUUUUUAAGUUAAAAUGUUGUCAGGUUUUAUACAACCUGUUCUGUCUUUGACAGCAUUACAUGGAUGUUAGGCAGAGUAUAUUUGAAAUACUAUGUCUUUGAAAUGUAGCAGAAAAACCUGACUAAAUUAUCUCCACCUUUACUGAUGUAUCUUUGUAUGCCUGAUGCUGAGGAUAUUGUAAUUAAUGGCAAUAAAUUUGUUUGCACUGAUACUUGGAUCUUAAAAAUAAAUCAUCCUCAAU